GUAUGAUGUAGGUCAGGAAGUGUGGAACAACGAUGGAAGGAAGGAAGGAAGGAAGGAAGGAAGGAAGGAGUGAAACAAGGAAGUCAAAAAUGAAGUCAGGGAGGAAUAAAUGAACGAAGAAAGAAAACAAAGACGACUGGAAACAAGGAAGUGAGGAAGGAAGGAAGGAAGGAAUGAAAGAAAGAGAAAUGAAGGAAGGAAGAAAGGGUCAAUCGAAAAGGAAGAAUGGAAGUCUGGAAAGGAGGAAGGAAGGAAUGAAACGAGCAUGGAAGGAAAUAUGGUAGUCAGAAAGGAAGUCAAAAAUGAAGUCAGGGAGGAAUAAAUGAAUGAAGGAAAAAAACAAGGAAGUCAGGAAGGAAGGAAGGAAUGGAAGAAAGCGAAAUGGAGAAAGAAAGAAAAGAAAGAAAGAAAGAAAGAAAGAAAGAAAGAAAGAAAGAAAGAAAGAAAGGGGCAGUCAAAAAGGAAGAAAGAAAGUCUGGAAAGAAGGAAGGAAGGAAGUCAAAAAUGAAGUCGGUAGAUUGAAAGAAUAAAUGUAGAAAGGAAGAAAGAAAGGAAACAAAGAAGAAAGGAAGUAAGGACACAAGUAAGUCAGGAAGUAGGGAAGAACGGAAGGAUGGAAGUCAAAAACGGAGAUCAAGAAGGAAGGAAGUCAGGAAGACUGAAAAUCCAGAAACAGUAAAUAAUCGCAGGAAUAUGGACAAAUGGUGUAAUGAAAAGAGAAAGAAAGAAAGAAGGCGAAGAAAAAGUGAGGAAGGAAAGAAGGAACAAACAAACAAACUAGAAAGGACAAAAGACAAAAGGAAGAAAAAAAAGUGCUGUGAUAAACUAGAAGACAGAAAAAGAAAGGAGAGGAAGACGAGAGAAGAGAAAUUUGAAGAAGAAGAAUUAAAAGCAUGUGAUCUGGACAAAAGGAAAAUCUAAUCCUAUUACAUCACCAACAGCACCGUCAUAUAAACAUUAAAAAUAAAAAUCAAAAAAUCUUUAACAAAUCGACCUGUAAAUAGAUUAUUACUCCUGCGCACUCUACUAUCGGAAUAAAAAACGAGAAGACAUGAUUAAUGUAGCAUUUUAAAAUAAACCCCAAGGCUGAUUCUACAAACGCGCAGCAUGACUCUCUGUUACUCUUUCACUGAAAAAUGUCAAUAUGCUAAUAUUUAUAUCGCAGCGUUUUCAUUGCCUCAAAGUUUCAGAGUUCA
ensembl:lncRNA